rnacentral:rRNA from 1 species
GACGAACGCUGGCGGCGUGCUUAACACAUGCAAGUCGAACGGAAAGGCCCUGCUUUUGUGGGGUGCUCGAGUGGCGAACGGGUGAGUAACACGUGAGUAACCUGCCCUUGACUUUGGGAUAACUUCAGGAAACUGGGGCUAAUACCGGAUAGGAGCUCCUGCUGCAUGGUGGGGGUUGGAAAGUUUCGGCGGUUGGGGAUGGACUCGCGGCUUAUCAGCUUGUUGGUGGGGUAGUGGCUUACCAAGGCUUUGACGGGUAGCCGGCCUGAGAGGGUGACCGGCCACAUUGGGACUGAGGUACGGCCCAGACUCCAACGGUAGGCAGCAGUGGGAAAUAUUGCACAAUGGGCGGAAGCCUGAUGCAGCAACGCCGCGUGCGGGAUGACGGCCUUCGGGUUGUAAACCGCUUUCGCCUGUGACGAAGCGUGAGUGACGGUAAUGGGUAAAGAAGCACCGGCUAACUACGUG